AGAUCGGGUUUUCCCAGGGCAUGGAAAGGACAGGGCUCCCAGUGGAGAUAUCAUGUAGCUAUAGGGCCUAGAAGUAUUUUUUCAGUAGAUGAAAUUUAGAAAUAAUUUGAAUAUUUUAUGCUGGGGAGGUAGCUUGUGGAGUGAAAUGGUCGGGUAAAGGAAACACUGAGUUCAAGUGCUUCUUUAUAAAGGACACUUAACUGAUCUAAAUAUUUGUCAAGCUGAAUCGCUACAUCCACUCUCACCUGCCUGAAAUCAAUAUGCUCAAGUCAAACGCAUUUGCCUGCAUCUGAAUGUGGAGAAUGAACUUCUUAAAGCUGAACUGGCAGCUGGAAGGGGAGAGAGAAGAGCUGGACAGGGAGCCAGGACACCGGAGUUCUUUUCCACUGUGGUGGGAUCUGGAAGAAGCUGUUGAAUCUCUGUAGAGUUAGCUUUUAAAUGCUGUGAGUCUUUGGAAAGCUGUGCGAAUAACUGCUAAACACCCAGGACAGCUUAUGCAUUUUUUGAAAAAGGUUCCUGGUGCUGGUUCCAGCAGAAUAGACACAGAGAUGCAUGGCCUAACUCCCACUCCCUCUUCAGGACUGAGCCACGCAGCCCCCCAUCUGCCAGAAGUGUUAGCUGUUGACGGCUCACAGCUGAGUCCCUCUCCAGGCAUUGCUGAAAAGAGCCACCUUGCUCUAGGAUGUGCCCCCACCCUGGGGGCAGCAUACAUUCCAAGUGAUUAGUCCAUAGUGUGGUACAAAGGUUGUACCCAUCUUGCCUGAAUUCAGGAUCUCUUGGAAAACCACCCCAGCUCUGCAGCUCCUGGUGGG
rnacentral:lncRNA from 1 species